CAUUUCUAGGUCCCUCAGGCUGCAAAAUAAAACCAGAGGAUGUGUGGCAUUCCUUGAUUCACCUCCAUUUAGGACAGCUACAGCCAAAGCGCUGUUUAAUAGAUACCAGGAGGAGAGGCGUGUCGGCUGGAAAAGACUGAUGUGCCACCGCUUUGUCUUAAUUCACAACCGACUGACACAUCCCUGGUGAAGUGCUGGAAUAUACAUAACACUAACCCACACAUAGAGUACAAACAGAAGCAUAUCACCUAGUUCAAGGUGAUAUGCUUCUGGUACAAAACAUAGUGUUAAAUAGUUUCCUAAAUUUUCUUUUACAAUGUCUUGGUUGCUGUCUUCCUCUGCACCCCUCUGAAGUUACAUUGAGAACAGAAAGAUUUAAAAUUUGUUAUGUACGCUGGAAAAGAUUUACCUUAAAUCACUCACACCAAUAUGCUUCUGAAGGGGAUAUCAUAUUAAUUAUAACUGAUUUUUCUGCGUACUUUGGACCAAAACCAUCUUCACCCUCUAUUGAUUUCUGAUUUAUAUCGAGGAGUAGAAUGUCCGCAUUUUCAGGAAAUUCCCGUGGAGUGGGAGGUGAGGCAAAGGCCCCACAAGGAUGUUUUGUCCUUAAGCGCUAAGAGACAAAUCUAUACCUUCACCAGCUUUGUCAGUGGAAUGAGCUACCAGCUUUGUGGUAGUGCAGAAAAACUGCUUUGUAGAAAUAAUAAAGAUCUUGUGUUAAUGAAAUGUGCAAGAAUCGUAAGAACAUCACUGUAAUUUUAAUUAGUACAAACACUAGCGACUGUGUAAAACAAUUUAUUAAAAUAAGGAUCACUGGAUAAUCCAA